rnacentral:rRNA from 1 species
CCUACGGGAGGCUGCAGUGAGGAAUAUUGGUCAAUGGGCGCGAGCCUGAACCAGCCAAGUAGCGUGAAGGAUGACUGCCCUACGGGUUGUAAACUUCUUUUAUAAAGGAAUAAAGUGAGGCACGUGUGCCUUUUUGCAUGUACUUUAUGAAUAAGGAUCGGCUAACUCCGUGCCCGCAGCCGCGGUAAUACGGAGGAUGCUAGCGUUAUCCGGAUUUAGUGGGUUUAAAGGGAUCUUAGGUGGGUUGUUAAGUCAGGUGUGAAAGUUUGCGGCUCAACCGUAAUAUUGCAAUUGAUACUGGCAGCCUUGAGUACAGUAGAGGUAGGCGGAAUUCGUGGUGUAGCGGUGAAAUGCUUAGAUAUCACGAAGAACUCCGAUUGCGAAGGCAGUUUACUAAGCUGCCACUGACAUUGAUGCUCGAAAGUGUGGGUAUCAAACAGGAUUAGAUACCCCUGUAGUC